rnacentral:rRNA from 1 species
UACGUAGGGGGCAAGCGUUGUCCGGAUUUAUUGGGCGUAAAGAGCGUGUAGGCGGCCAGGUAGGUCUGCUGUGAAAACUCGAGGCUUAACCUCGAGAUGUCGGCGGAAACCAUCUGGCUAGAGUCCGGAAGAGGAGAGUGGAAUUCCUGGUGUAGCGGUGAAAUGCGCAGAUAUCAGGAAGAACACCCGUGGCGAAGGCAGCUCUCUGGGACGGUACUGACGCUGAGACGCGAAAGCGUGGGGAGCGAACAGG